rnacentral:rRNA from 1 species
CAUGUCUUUUUGAUAAAAAUAUAAAGUCUAGUCUGCUCAAUGAAUAAAAAUUUAAAUAGCUGCAGUAUUUUGACUGUACAAAGGUAGCAUAAUAAUUAGUUUUUUGAUUGAAAGCUGGAAUGAAGGAUUGGACGAGAAAAUUACUGUCUCAAUAUAAACAAUUGAAUUUAACUUUUUAGUUAAAAGGCUAAAAUUUUUUUAAAAGACGAGAAGACCCUAUAGAGUUUUAUAAUUAAUAUUUUUUAAUAUAAUUAGAAUUAUUAAUUUUUAAAUUUGUAUUAAUUAUUUAGUUGGGGUGAUUAAAAAAUUUAUAAAACUUUUUUAUUUUAUUAAUUAUUUAUUUAUAAAUUUAUUUUCUAUGGAUUUUUAAAAUUAAAAUAAAUUACCUUAGGGAUAACAGCGUAAUAUAUUUUUAAAGUUCUUAUUUAAAAAUUUGAUUGCGACCUCGAUGUUGGAUUAAAAUUUAUUAU